GAUGUGAAAGCCCGGGGCUUAACUCCGGGUCUGCAUUCGAUACGGGCAGGCUAGAGUUCGGUAGGGGAGAUCGGAAUUCCUGGUGUAGCGGUGAAAUGCGCAGAUAUCAGGAGGAACACCGGUGGCGAAGGCGGAUCUCUGGGCCGAUACUGACGCUGAGGAGCGAAAGCGUGGGGAGCGAACAGGAUUAGAUACCCUGGUAGUCCACGCCGUAAACGUUGGGAACUAGGUGUGGGCGACAUUCCACGUUGUCCGUGCCGCAGCUAACGCAUUAAGUUCCCCGCCUGGGGAGUACGGCCGCAAGGCUAAAACUCAAAGGAA
rnacentral:rRNA from 1 species